GAUGAACGCUGGCGGCGUGCCUAAUACAUGCCAGUCGAGCGAACGGACGAGAAGCUUGCUUUUCUGAUGUUAGCGGCGGACGGGUGAGUAACACGUGGAUAACCUACCUAUAAGACUGGGAUAACUUCGGGAAACCGGAGCUAAUACCGGAUAAUAUUUUGAACCGCAUGGUUCAAAAGUGAAAGACGGUCUUGCUGUCACUUAUAGAUGGAUCCGCGCUGCAUUAGCUAGUUGGUAAGGUAACGGCUUACCAAGGCAACGAUGCAUAGCCGACCUGAGAGGGUGAUAGGCCACACUGGAACUGGGACACGGUCCAGACUACUACGGGAGGCAGCAGUAGGGAAUCUUCCGCAAUGGGCGAAAGCCUGACGGAGCAACGCCGCGUGAGUGAUGAAGGUCUUCGGAUCGUAAAACUCUGUUAUUAGGGAAGAACAUAUGUGUAAGUAACUGUGCACAUCUUGACGGUACCUAAUCAGAAAGCCACGGCUAACUACGUG
rnacentral:rRNA from 1 species